GACGAACGCUGGCGGCGUGCUUAACACAUGCAAGUCGAACGGAAAGGCCCUGCUUUUGUGGGGUGCUCGAGUGGCGAACGGGUGAGUAACACGUGAGUAACCUGCCCUUGACUUUGGGAUAACUUCAGGAAACUGGGGCUAAUACCGGAUAGGAGCUCCUGCUGCAUGGUGGGGGUUGGAUAGUUUCGGCGGUUGGGGAUGGACUCGCGGCUUAUCAGCUUGUUUGUGGGGUAGUGGCUUACCAAGGCUUUGACGGGUAGCCGGCCUGAGAGGGUGACCGGCCAAAUUGGGACUGAGAUACGGCCCAGAAGGAAACGGGAGGAAGCAGUGGGGAAUAUUGCAAAAUGGGCGGAAGCCUGAUGCAGCAACGCCGCGUGCGGGAUGACGGCCUUCGGGUUGUAAACCGCUUUCGCAUGUGACGAAGCGUGAGUGACGGUAAUGGGUAAAGAAGCACCGGCUAACUACGUG
rnacentral:rRNA from 1 species